rnacentral:rRNA from 1 species
UACGGAAGGCAGCAGUGGGGAAUAUUGCACAAUGGGCGCAAGCCUGAUGCAGCCAUGCCGCGUGUAUGAAGAAGGCCUUCGGGUUGUAAAGUACUUUCAGUCGUGAGGAAGGUGUUAAGGUUAAUAACCUUAGCAAUUGACGUUAGCGACAGAAGAAGCACCGGCUAACUCCGUGCCAGCAGCCGCGGUAAUACGGAGGGUGCGAGCGUUAAUCGGAAUUACUGGGCGUAAAGGGCACGCAGGCGGUUAAUUAAGUUGGAUGUGAAAUCCCCGGGCUUAACCUGGGAAUGGCAUUCAAGACUGGUUAGCUAGAGUCUUGUAGAGGGGGUAGAAUUCCAUGUGUAGCGGUGAAAUGCGUAGAGAUGUGGAGGAAUACCGGUGGCGAAAGGCGGCCCCUGGACAAAGGACUGACGUUCAUGUGCGAAAGCGUGGGGAGCGAAAACAGGGAUUAGAUACC